UCCGCCUGCCUCCCUCUCGCCUAACGCACGCACCCUCCUAGCGCUAUCCCCGCGAUCUAGGGCGACGGCAUCGGCGCCCCCCGUCCCCUCUCUCUCUCUUUCCCAUCUCGCGUUUCUAUCUCCAAUCUCCCGCCGAACGUCGGACGUACGUGCUUGCGCCUCCCCAUCACGCGCCGGCGACCACUCGCCAGCGACGACCCGAGGUCACCGACGCGGGGACCCAAGGAUUCGUUGCCGCCGUUCAGAACUACUUCGUCGACGGCGUCAAUGGGGGCUUUGGCCAGAGCUCCUGGCCUUCCGCCGCCGCCGCCGGGUUCGUCCCCCAGGCAUACAUACUGCCGAUCAGGACGCCGUCGGAUCCUCUGUCGCCGGUCCUCUCCUUCCUCUCACAGUUCAUGUAGCCCCUACUUCCUCCCCUGAUUGUCCAGCCUCCACACGCGAAGCCACCGAGUCAGGAAUCGGAAGUGCCAGUCUGUGCAUCGUGUUCUCACGCGAAGCCCUAGGUCGUCUUGCUAUCCUGUUGCAAGAAUUCCUACGCACAAUAUUAGUGUUCAUAUCAGUCUGACAUAUUCAUGUGUAUCUUUUCAGUAUCCAAAAUUAAAGAAUUCAAGUGAUA